UUUGAACCGCAUGGUUCAAAAGUGAAAGACGGUCUUGCUGUCACUUAUAGAUGGAUCCGCGCUGCAUUAGCUAGUUGGUAAGGUAACGGCUUACCAAGGCAACGAUGCAUAGCCGACCUGAGAGGGUGAUCGGCCACACUGGAACUGAGACACGGUCCAGACUCCUACGGGAGGCAGCAGUAGGGAAUCUUCCGCAAUGGGCGAAAGCCUGACGGAGCAACGCCGCGUGAGUGAUGAAGGUCUUCGGAUCGUAAAACUCUGUUAUUAGGGAAGAACAUAUGUGUAAGUAACUGUGCACAUCUUGACGGUACCUAAUCAGAAAGCCACGGCUAACUACGUGCCAGCAGCCGCGGUAAUACGUAGGUGGCAAGCGUUAUCCGGAAUUAUUGGGCGUAAAGCGCGCGUAGGCGGUUUUUUAAGUCUGAUGUGAAAGCCCACGGCUCAACCGUGGAGGGUCAUUGGAAACUGGAAAACUUGAGUGCAGAAGAGGAAAGUGGAAUUCCAUGUGUAGCGGUGAAAUGCGCAGAGAUAUGGAGGAACACCAGUGGCGAAGGCGACUUUCUGGUCUGUAACUGACGCUGAUGUGCGAAAGCGUGGGGAUCAAACAGGAUUAGAUACCCUGGUAGUCCACGCCGUAAACGAUG
rnacentral:rRNA from 1 species